UACGAAGGGGGCUAGCGUUGUUCGGAAUUACUGGGCGUAAAGCGCACGUAGGCGGAUGUUUAAGUUAGGGGUGAAAUCCCAGGGCUCAACCCUGGAACUGCCUCUAAUACUGGGCAUCUAGAGUCCGAGAGAGGUGAGUGGAAUUCCGAGUGUGGAGGUGAAUUUCGUAGAUAUUCGGAGGAACACCAGUGGCGAAGGCGGCUCACUGGCUCGGUACUGACGCUGAGGUGCGAAAGCGUGGGGAGCAAACAGG
rnacentral:rRNA from 1 species